rnacentral:lncRNA from 1 species
GGAAAGCUCCAGCACAAAGGAGCGGCGCGGAGGGCAGAAGCGAGCGGAGCCGGCGCCCCCCAGCCCCAACCCGGCCCCCGGGAGCAGUCCCCUCGCGGCCUCCACAGCGCAGAGCCACACAGGAUGGGGGGACAUUGCACGGCACUUGCAUAGCUGGUGACCACAGGUAGGAUCCCCAGGGAGGGGACACAGGCAGUACCAGCCCCAUGCUCUCCCACCCCUAGCAAGCUGGGAGGGCUCUGGGCAGCCAGGAGCCUUCCUGCCCAGGUUCCAGUGGUGUCCAGGGGGUCACA